CCGGGGUGCUCCUGUGUCUGCUCCUGCUGCCCCACUGCAGUGCAGAAAUCCCCAUCCUGAUCCCUGGAUCGCCUCCCAGCUGCCUCCUUUCUGAGGGGAUGAAUUUCCUCCCUGGCAGGCCAGGGAGAAGCUGCUGCUCUGCAGCUGAGCCCACUGGCUUGUCAAAGGAAUCUCAAGAGAAAAAGGAAAAAAGGGUGGGAAUGAUGAGGAAUGGCAGCCUGGGAGUGAGCAGCAGUGGUGCUGAGCAGUUCUCACACCUGUGGAAUGAGCUCAGGGCCUGGGGUCACUGCGGGUUGUGGGGGGACACUGUCUGCAAUGUCACCUCCAGGGUCACUGGGGAGCCAGCACAGUGCAGGUUCAGGAAUCCCCUGAUCAAACACAGCUCCCCCUCGGUGCUGAUGCUUUUGGGUGGUGGCAAAGCAGCCCGGUCACCUCCUCCUGCCGUGCUGCACCUGCCACCUUGGCUGUGACAAGAACAUUUCAGACUGGUCCUUACUGGUGCCAGCUACAGCGCACGGGGAGUUCCUGGUGCUCUGAGUUCCCGGGAACGGCUGAUCCCUGCCCCAGCUCUGAUCCGCAUCGCUGCCGUGAUUCCUGUACAGACACCCUCAUUUUAUCCAUUCCCUGGCAGGGAGCUGCAGCUGCUUUCCCAGCGCUGCCAGGGAGCAUUAGAAGAGCUUUGAUUGCUGACCUUGCCCCUGCUUGCCCGAUUUGCUCUUCCCUUGUACUUCCUGACAGCUGCCUCUUUUCCAGCCCGCUCCGCCCGGGGCCGCGCGGUGCCCUCGGGCAGCUCCGCUUUGGUGGGAGCGCGGACGGCUCCGGAAUCGCUGAUGCUCCGGCAGCUCAGCGCUCCUCUUCCCCUGUCCUGCUCAUGGAUCAUCCCCGCGGGCAGCCGGGCAGAGCUCUCCAGGAGCUGCCAGAGCCCUGGCAUUGCCAAACUGAGUCCUGGUCCCUGGGCUGCUCCUCCAACAAAUUCCGGAGCGAGGGGAGCGGUGCCCGGCUCUUCCCGGCCUCUCCGGGGUGCAGGAUAGCGGUGGCUGCGGAAGAGAGGGGGAAUUUCAUCAAUAAAAGACGCGAUUUUGCCUCCCCCGCUCUCCUCCCUCAUGCCUGGCGUUUGAAAGGCAGGAUUGAGAGCUCGCAGCUCGGGGGCUGCUGCAGAUGUGGAGCGGGGCCGCUCCCCGGGAGUGCUUCCAGCAGCAGAAUUCCGAUGGGAGGAAAUGGGCCGGCGACACCCCGCAGACAAUGCUCCAUUGCAAGUCUCCUCUGCAGAUGUGCUUCCUCCUCAUCAGCACUCGCGAUCCGCAUUGAGGCUCCUUCCCUCCUGCCCCGCGCUCUAAAGGGGCUGAGAUUUCAUCUUGGGUUUCUUCCCAGAAGGAUGAAAGAAAGGAGUGAAAGGGAAGAAAGGGAAAGCAGCCGCUCUGGGUGGGACUGGCUCCCGAU
rnacentral:lncRNA from 1 species